GGAGAGAUGGCAGAGUGGUCUAAUGCGGCGGUCUUGAAAACCGCUGUCCCGCUUGCGGGACCGGGGGUUCGAAUCCCUCUCUCUCCG
rnacentral:tRNA from 1 species